GGAGGCGCCAUCAUUUAGCAGUUUGCUUAUGGUCACACAGCUGCGACUGGACCCCUUGUCUGACUGCUCCUGAGCCUGCAUUCUAGAUCUUGGAAGGAGCCGAAUGUGUCUCGGGGACACGGAGAAGUCAUCUGCUCCUGCAAAGCCUCGUGUGAGAAGACGAAAGCUAGGAAGAGGCGGUGGAAAGGCACGUGCUGGCCAGGACACCAGCAGCAGCUAGGAGGGCGCUCCCUCUAAGAAAUUGUCAUCGCAUGGCCUCAAGUCCAGACCUCCCUGGGCCUCAAGUCACAGCCAAUCCCGGAAGGUGCGCCCUGCAGAGUGGGGGCAAGGUGUAGGCCUCGCUGAACUCGGGGAGGGGAGGGAGCGCGCCAGCGGGCACUGAGGUCCUUCUCCCCUCGGCGGAGCUCUCAUCCUGGUCAGGUCGGCUUGGACGCUGCUGCGGGCUCCCGCGUUCUGCGCUAGGUGGCGAAAUGCUGUGGGGCUCCCCUAUUCGGGGGAAUGCGGUAGUGAUGUAUAAGGUAUGAAAGAUGUGGCCUGCAGAGAGCCGGCACUAUCUCUACUGCUGCUGCUGCUACUGCUGCUGCCGCCGCUGCCGCCGCUGCCGCUCCUGCUGCCGGCAGAGCUGCUGGGAGUGAGCUGAGCAUCCCGCGUGCGGGGCUCCCAGCUCCGCGGCAGCUCCCGAGCCCCGGCCACCCCCGCAGCCGCCCUCCACGGCCCCGCCAGCCCCAGGGAACAAAAGCGGAACUCUGUCGCCCGCUCCUGCAGCCAGAGGAUGAGUCGAGAGGGCUGAGCGCAGAGUGUGGUCCUCAGCGGCUGGGCUGGAAGCUGCUGUCACAUAUGGUGGUGACCCAUAGGGUCUGUCGUGUUGCUGCUACUGAUGAUGACGAUAAUGAUGAUGAUCUCUUUUGACUCAUUUUUCAGCUCCUGUUCUGAAUCUUGACAUCAGAAAGCACCAAACUCUUGGAGAAUCUAUAGAACAGCAAAGCAGCCAACUGAAGAAUCAGCAACAACAACGGCAACAACAAAACAGUGGAGAAGGACAUAGAGUUUUCUAUGUUUACUUACCCAGGUAAAGUUAUUCAAGAAAGUAAUCAGCAUUAACCAUCAUGGUCUUACAAAGAAAAGUAAUCUUAAUAU
rnacentral:lncRNA from 1 species